AGAGUUUGAUUCUGGCUCGGGACGAACGCUGGCGGCGUGCCUAACACAUGCAAGUCGAGCGAGGAGAUUCCUUCGGGAUGAUCCUAGCGGCGGACGGGUGAGUAACACGUGGGCAACCUGCCUCAUAGAGAGGAAUAGCCUUCCGAAAGGGAGAUUAAUACCUCAUAACAUUGCAGUUUCGCAUGGAACAGCAAUUAAAGGAGUAAUCCGCUAUGAGAUGGGCCCGCGGCGCAUUAGCUAGUUGGUGAGGUAACGGCUCACCAAGGCGACGAUGCGUAGCCGACCUGAGAGGGUGAUCGGCCACAUUGGGACUGAGACACGGCCCAGACUCCUACGGGAGGCAGCAGUGGGGAAUAUUGCACAAUGGGGGAAACCCUGAUGCCAGCAACGCCGCGUGAGUGAUGACGGCCUUCGGGUUGUAAAGCUCUGUCUUCAGGGACGAUAAUGACGGUACCUGAGGAGGAAGCCACGGCUAACUACGUGCCAGCCGCGGC
rnacentral:rRNA from 1 species